CCUUUUCUACGGAAUAGCUCUGGGAAACUGGAAUUAAUACCGUAUACGCCCUACGGGGGAAAGAUUUAUCGGGGAAGGAUUGGCCCGCGUUGGAUUAGCUAGUUGGUGGGGUAAAGGCCUACCAAGGCGACGAUCCAUAGCUGGUCUGAGAGGAUGAUCAGCCAUAUUGGGACUGAGACACGGCCCAAACUCCUACGGGAGGCAGCAGUGGGGAAUAUUGGACAAUGGGCGCAAGCCUGAUCCAGCCAUGCCGCGUGAGUGAUGAAGGCCUUAGGGUUGUAAAGCUCUUUCACCGAUGAAGAUAAUGACGGUAGUCGGAGAAGAAGCCCCGGCUAACUUCGUGCCAGCAGCCGCGGUAAUACGAAGGGGGCUAGCGUUGUUCGGAAUUACUGGGCGUAAAGCGCACGUAGGCGGAUAUUUAAGUCAGGGGUGAAAUCCCAGAGCUCAACUCUGGAACUGCCUUUGAUACUGGGUAUCUUGAGUAUGGAAGAGGUAAGUGGAAUUGCGAGU
rnacentral:rRNA from 1 species